rnacentral:lncRNA from 1 species
GGCAGUGGGCGAUUAAAACCAUUUCUCAUCGAUUGUGAAUUGAAACUUACUUUCAAUUCUCCCUUUAGUGAUUACACAUGUUUAGGGCUUCCACAAACCAUGAGUGACACCUAGUAGCAUAUCAUGGUUACCCAAGCUAAUCAGAAGAGGUAGAGAACCUAUUCAGUUUAGGAUUACAAAUGCAAUACGGUCUUUCUCUAAUACAAUACUCUUGACCACAUUGUUUGGUUUGAUAGUUUAUUCAUGUCUACUAUCCAAUGUGAUUCGUGUGCUUAUAUGAUUAUCUUGAAUGUGAUUUAGAACGACUUUUCUAAAUCUCAUUCAUACUCUGGCCAGAGGUUCUAAAUCAUAUCAUAGAGUAUUCUCCCUCAAACGGUUUGAAGGUUAGAGAUCCCUUGUUGCGCAUUCACUUGCCUCCAUAGCUAAGUGGCUUAACCCCAACGAUGUCGUGGACACCCGCGGAUUGGGUGACUUUGACAUAAUCAAAGAUCAAGGACUUAACCACAAGACAGACGUGAUGCCUCAGGUCAAAUGACUACUUUGCAUUAUCCCAACCAUGAGUUCUCAUGUGACAUGAAUAUGAGAACUCUUCGUUGAUCGUGUUCAGUGAACUCAUUCUCUACUGAGCACCUACGUACUUGUCUUGAUGUCACACACACCAAUGACUCGAGACUAGUCACUCUCCCUGAGAGAAGACACAGUACGUACUGAUCUUAACGGACUGUCAAUGCCCAAUUGGCAAUCCUAUGAUCAGGAACGUUUAGGAUGUGUCUACGAAAGAAUGGUCUCAUGAAUCUAACUUCUUUAGAUCGUAUUCUCCCAAUCACAUAUUCCUUGGACUUAUCGUUUAAGCAUAUAACAUUUAUAUGAGACGGCUCAAACAAUAAUAUUUGCCCUUUAUAUUUAAACUAGAUUAGUUUAACAUGUGAAAUGUCCGUAAAGUAUCAUCAUAUGAUUGGCUUUAGGGCACAUUUCCAACAAUCUCCCACUUGCACUAGAGCCAAUCAGCUUGAUCAUCAAUGAUGAUACCUCUUCUGUAGUCAUUUCAUAAAUGGCUGAAUAGUAGGCCUAGACAAUGGAUAUCUAUAUGUUAUCCAUAGAAGCAACAUUGAGAAUAACGACGUCACCAUUAUACAUGAUUCUUAAUCAUGUGGUUCAGUCUCUCAUAUGAGUUCGGACCUUGAUGAGACCUUGAUUCCUUGGCUUGAGCUAUCGCCCCAUUAGUGUCAUAAUGUCAGUACACUAGAUACACUUUCUGGUUGGAACCGAAUAGAGAGUUCAUAAAUGAACUUUCCCAUCCAAACAACAUUGUUGUAAGCUUCUAUAUGACAAUAUAUUUUGCAUUCAUAAUGGAACACACUAAAGUCAUUACUUUAAUGUUUCCAUCCAAAUAUCUCUUUAGUCAUAAUAAAGAGAUAUCUAUUUAUCUCUUCAUUCAUAAUGAAGAAACAUCCAAUGAUGGAUUAGAUUCACAAUCUAAUACAUUUACGCUUCCAUUACGUUACUCUAAUUCUUCCUUAUUCUUUGAGGAAUCUAUCCUUUAGUAUUUCUUAAAUACUUAAGGACUCACUUGACAGUUGCCAUGGUUCUGAUCCUGGGCUUGCACUGAUAUCGUCUUGUACCGUUCUAGGUACAACUCAUAUCAAUGUUUUUCAUACAAUAUGAAAUACAUAAAUCACCUUUAUGCGUAUGCAUAAAGGAUUCUAUUUAUGCAUUAUUUCUUUGGGAGUCAAAGAGUACGUUCUCUUUGAGAAAAGCAACUUCUUAGUCUCACUAGAACUGUCCUUCUAAUUGAAGUUUAUCAUCAUAUGAGAAACUUCCUAGCAUCCAUUGUCUAUUAUUAGGGAUUGAUAUAAUCCAAUUAUAUCAUGAAAUGUAUCAUUAUAGAUUUUCAUCCCAUGUAUAUAGACUAUAUCUCCCAUACACAUUCUAUCUUCAUAUAAUGUUUCAAAGUCAUAACUUUAAAGAAGAAGUAUUCUUUUCAUUUCCAAAAUUAAUAUAUCAUAUAUAUUUAAAUUUUAGGAACAUGAUUAACUCCCAUAUACAUUCUAUCUUCAUAUAAUGUUUCAAAGUUAUAACUUAAUGAAGAAGUAUUCUUUUCAUUUCCAAAAUUAAUAUAUCAUAUAUAUUUAAAUUUUAGGAACAUGAUUAACUCCCACUAAUUUUUUGUAAACCUAGUAAACAAAAGAUUCAUUUACAUCUUUAUGAGAAAUCAAACGAUUUGAUCAUUUUCUCAUAAGAUGCUCAUAGCUCCCACUAGCUUGCUUAGAUUCAUAAUGGAUGGAUCUCUACAACUUACAUGUCUUGUGAUUCAUAGUUUUAGACAUAUAUAUUAUCAAGACUAUCUUAAUAAUGGUUUCGGAAACCCAUAUAAUGUCCAAACAUUGAAUCACCAUUUAGUUGUCGCUAGCUAUCUUCGAAUUAAUUGAAAAACAAGACUACGUCAAAGAUGGUUUCUUCAAAGUCAACCGUUCUCUUUGAUUGCAGUCACCUUAAGCUACCAAUUAGCUAUGGGGUUUCAUUAUUUCGGGUCAAAUGGUACUUUACCAUUUCCUUGAGUAUAUAUCGUAUAUACACUCAAUGUAGUCAUAAGGAUUUUCAUUCUUAUUUCUUUCGAAUUAAGAGGUGCAACUCUAUGACAUAGUCAUAAAGUUCAAACCAUUCAACUUUGACGGUUUAUAAAUCCUUCUCGACUACCUUGGAGCUUUUGGUAUAGGAACUAGGUUGUUUAUAUUUGUUGAUUACUUUCUUGUCUCUCAAAGAACCCAUUCUUUGAGUUCUAUCUCUCGUUCAUUUGCUUUUAGGCAAAUCACAUUGUAGGAUUACAAUGAACUACCCAACAAAACAACAUUUGUUAAUUGGUUUAUAGAAGCGAUAUCCAAAAGUUAAUUUAAGGAUAUCCCACAAGAUUGUUAUCAAACAAAUAUUGCUUAUUAGCUCACAACCCCAAAUCUUAACAUGCUUGAGAUUUGUCUUUCUUUCCAACUACAUCUUAUGGAGUCAUGAAAAAUUUGGAAGAUCUUCUAAUUGACAAUCAUAUUGUUUUUAGAAGUAUAUAUCCUAUAUAUGGGUAAUAGAUAACAUCUAACGAACUAAAUCUUAUUCGAGUUCGUUCUUCUCCUUAAUGGAGAAAUUCAUUAUCUUAUGAUGCUAUUUUCCUUGAUAUCUUUCAAGGAAACUCAUUUAAAGUGUUACUUUUCCUUGGAUCAAAUCUAAGGAGGUAAAUACUUUAGAUGUCUUACUCAUCAACUUACAUUUCUUGAAUUCUUUGAAACCUUUUGCAAAGUAUUCGGACUUGUGUUUAUUCAAAAUAAACUAUAGUCCAACCGAGAGUGAUCUUCGGUGAAUGUCAUCCAACAUGAGUAGUAUUAUGUUGUGGACAAGUGCCACUAACAUCUAAGUGAAUUAACCUCAACAACUUUGUGAUUCUUUCUUCUUUCCAAAAGAAUAAAGAUUCGAACAUUCCACCUCUAUACAAUUUUAACAAGAAGGUAUUGGAUCCGGAUCUAACGAUCCAAAGCAUCCAUCUUUGACCAACUCGUAAUUUAUGUUUUAGAGGUAUCACAACUUUAGUUGGGAUUAGUCACUACCUUGCAACCUUUUGGGUUUUAAGCAUCAUUAUAUUCUAAACAGUUAACACUACCAUAUCAUCUCUACUAUAGAGACAAUCAAUUAGAUUACUAUAAUCCAAUCAUUGAUUAAUAAAGAACAAUGUUUUGUCAAACAAAACAUUCAUCCAUCUCUACUAUAGUGACGGAAUUAAAUUCCUUAAAAUUGGAAUGUAAAGACAAUCUUUGGUUUUUCCAAUUUCUUUGGUAGUUCAUAUGAGGAAGUAAGUACUAUCUGCUUUCGCAGAGAUCUUUAUUUUAUUCACGUUCCGAAUGUGAAGCACCUUUUUCUUCUAUCAUAUAUCUUCUACUUCUUAUUAGUCACACUUUUACAACGAUUGUAAAACAUAGUUGCUAAUACGGAAUCAAGCAUUCAAGUAGAAGAGCCAACUGUUUUGAACUAUUCAAGAACAAUUUACAACACCUUCGAAAGGUGUGUUCUUGACACUUGCAAGACAUUUCUUGCAAAUACCCCUUCCAAUGUCCAUCCUUUCAUAAAGAAAGUUUGUUCCCUUGGAGUUAAUUUUAUCUUCUUUAUUUGACUUCUCAUUUGACUACAAUAGUCAUGGUCCCUAAACUCCCACUAUCUCUCUUGAAACUUAUUUCAAUUGUGUUAUACACAUCAAACGAUUUUGGAGAGUAUGUGUUUAUUGUUCACUAUAUAUAGUUUACAAUAAACUUAGUGAACCAUUAGGAUAAGGACAUAAAGGUGAAGUCCUUGCCUAGUUUCCGUCUCGUUAAGUGGUUUAUCACUUCAACACUCAAUGAUUCAAAAUCAUCAUAAGUACAUGUUGAUGGACUAUUUUUGUCAACCAACCAUUAUGUUCUAAACAUAAUUACAAACUUUCAAGAGUUGUACAAGGCAACUCUCAUUUCUUCAUACAACAAUUUGUAAGUGAAGAAUCAUGGCACAUUAAGUGUCCAUGCCUUUGUGCUUUCUUCUAAAGUUCCUUGUUCAUGUAACAAAGAAACAAGCACUAAUGUUUGCAUUGAUUAAGGGUUGUUCAAAGCAACUCCUAUUUCUUCAUACAACAAAUUGUAAUUGAAGAAUUAUGACAUUAAAAGUGUUGUCCUCUUUAUGAUAGACCUUUUCUAACAUAUUCUUCUAAUGAUACAUUAUCAAUAGGAAGAUUGUGAGGAUGAGACUACUUAGGUACAUUUACAAGCCAUUAAAGACAAUCUAUGGUUUUGUAGUACCAAGUAUGGAAACUAAAGCUUUCGGUUUUUAUUUGUCAAGUGUUGGAUAGCGUUUGCAAAUAUAUUGGUAAGUAAAUACAUAACGAAUAUAAAUUGAUUGAUUUUAAGCCAUUUAAUUCGGGUCUUUAAAUCAAAUAGCACCACCCACUAUUUUUGGCAAAUUCCAUAUCCCUCAUUGGAAUUCGAGAGUUUUGGAUGAAACUCUUAGUAGGGUAUGGGAGGCUCACUAUCACCAAGCCCACCUCACAAUGAUAUGAUGUUGGCUAGCAUUAAUAAUAAUGAGAGAGUACGCUUACUCAUUUGCAACUAAUGCAAGUACCCAUCUUAUUUGGCAUCUAGAGAAUGUCACUUCACAAUGAUAUGAUGUUGGCUCCAUUGCACUUAGUCAAGUCAUUCCCACCAUGCUUAGUUCGUGAAGGGGUUCAAGAAUAGCCUCACGAUGAUACGAUGUCGGCCAUCCUCGUUGCCUACACUCACCUCAUCAAGUAUGUAUAUAGACUCCUCCUGAGUAUAAGCAUGCACUUUGCACUCCCCCAUGAUAGGGUGAAGGCGGUGUACAAGUCAUAAACGAUUGGAGCCUACCACGGUGGAAGGCCACGAAAGAGUGUUCAAAGCACUCUCACGCUUAUCAACUUAAUAAUGGUUUGGUUGAGGGUUUUUGGUCUCAUCACAUAUAAACAUACAUUUUAAUCUCUAUUAAAACAAUUUUGGUCCUAUUACAAUUAUUGGUCCAUUUGAUUGUUUUUAGUUGUAUAUAAUACUCCUACUAUGCUUAUAAAACGGUUUUUAAAGCAAGAGUAUAUGAUACUACUAACAUAAACUUUGCAUUCAUUUGAUGGACUAUAUAGUUGCCUUAGGGCCUUAGGAUAACUAUGAACCUUUGUUUAGAUUCAACACGAGCCUUGUGUUGAAUCUCGGUCUAGGGAUGGUGAUUGAUUUUAGUUACUCGUUUAAUCACAUUAAGACGUGUUGUCUUAGGGGCGUUGGACCCAACUACUUCAUUUUCAUGCAUAUCAAAUAAAGCAAGAAAGAAGUACUUCAAAGUAAAGGUGAGCUUAUGCUCAUUACAACAUUUGCAUAAAUCAAAUUACUUUAAAGUAAAGAAGAGCUUAUGCUCUUUUACAACAUUUGAUCAAAUCAAAUUACAACCAAAAUCUAAUCUACACAUUCCCAUGGUUCAAACAAAUUUGAAACGGCCUUUCACAUAGCUCAAUUAUCGUAGGCUUAGGUUCAUAAUCACCCUUUAAUUAAUUAACACUUAACUAAUUAAAUUGAAUGCAACAUUUUCAUUUGGUUUUUGUAUCCAUAAAAUUGAUUUAAAUGGAGCUAAAUGAAAUGAAAAUCCAAUUCUCAUUUAAAGAGACAAAACAUUUUGUUCUCAACCUAAUUUGGGCCAAAAUGCAAUUACCACAACAUUUGGGCUAUAUUGCAAAAACAUAAACUUUUGGGGUCACUUUGUAAAAACAUGAAAGUCCACUACUUCAUGUAAUUACACUAGAACCCAAUAUUUAAACAAUGUAAAAACUUCAUUAAAGGAGCAAAACAAUUUGUCCUUUAGCGUUUUUGGACCUAAACGUAAAAACGUAAACUUUUGGGCCAAAGUGCAAAUACACAAAAGUAUCAAAACUUUAUGUAAUUGCAUAAAAGGCCCCAAAAGUACCCCCACUAGGGGGUGGCCGGUUUUGGAAGAAGAAAUGGAAUGAUGUGUGUGUUGAUUUGUGAGUUUUGACAUAAAGCAAUCAAGUGGUGCAAGUGGUGUGUGUGAAAGGAAAUUAAUCCUUACACACCCACCAAUAACUCUUACACCAUUUAAACAAAUAUCUAAAACAUUUAAACAUUUGAAAAUCAUAAAACAUAAACUUUAUGAAAUAAAUCAAAACUUUGAAUCAAAACACAAAACUUUUUGUUCUUGGCAAAAAUGUCAAGAACAAUGAACAACAUUCAUGAAAAACUCAAAAAUUUCCAUGAACAUUUUUCACCCAAAAACAUCUCAAAACCAUUCAAACUUUAGGGAAAUAACAUACAACCAAACUAGGGUACAUAGGGGUUCCAAAAGUUACUUGAAAACACUUUUACCAAGUCAAACAAGAACCCAAAAAUCCACCCUUUGGAUUUGGCCGAAAAUUCCCAAAAACAUGGCACCAAAUUUUAGCUCCAAUAUUCAUGCUCAUAUGAACUACAUCUACAACAUUUGAGAUGGCAAAUUUUCUAACAAAAUUUACAUUCAAAGAAACAAGAAUAAGCUUGUAAUAUAUUACAACUUUUAAAUCACAAACUAUGAACUACAAAACCCAAAAGGAUUCACCAACUACUAGACCUAGGCUCUGAUACCACUUGAAGGAUUAUUUUGUGAAAACAUGUUCAUUUAAGCAACAUCUAUAAGCAUGCAAUUAACAAUUAAAGGCGGAAUCAUGCUUGCAUGCACUUAAAAACAAAACAUUACCCAUGAAAUUCAAAGCCUAGUAGAUUGGUGAACCAAGACUCAACUCAAAUCAAAGUGAGUUGAGAAAUUUACCUUUGUAGAUUCCUCUUUGCAUAAGUAAAGGCUAAUCACCCAAAGAGAGGACCUUCAUUCCUUGCAUCUAAAAUCUAUGGAUUUGGAUGGAUGAAAAGGUUUCUCCAAGUUCCCAAAAUUGAGAACCUCUAAGUCUCCACACCAAGGAGAGAUUGGAGAAGAAAUGAGUGACCUUGGAGUAGUGGGAUUGCUAAAUGCACCCUCCAAGGGGGCCGGCCUCCUAGAGAGAAAAGGAGAGACAAGUUCUCUCCAAUUUUCUCUAAAAGAAACCCCAUAAUGAAUUUAGGCUAUAAAGUCCUUUAUAUAGUCACUUCAAAUAAGUGACCUAAAGAACCAAAAGGCCAUUCUCUCUAACAUGGCCGGCCAUAAGGGUUUUAUUGGGAUUUUGGGCCUUUGUGAAUUAAGUUGUCAUACAACUUAAAUCAAUGGGCUUGACGUUCGAAGCCCAUUGGGCCUUGAGGCCCGAAACUAACCCGUGGUCUUUUAACGAACUUUAUUCGUUUGAUUAAUUAACAUAUUAAUUAAUCCUUGCCAUAAAUAAUUAAACCAUUUAAUUAUUCUUACUCAUAUCCAUUGUUUCUUCAAUCUCCACCUUACACGGUGUACGAUCCAUUAGGUUCCUUUUAGCGAGGCAGUGGGCGAUUAAAACCAUUUCACAUCGAUUGUGAAUUGAAACUUACUUUCAAUUCUCCCUUUAGUGAUUACACACGUUUAGGGCUUCCACAAACCAUGAGUGACACCUAGCAGCAUAUCAUGGUUACCCAAGCUAAUCAGAAAAGGUAGAGAACCUAUUUAGUUUAGGAUUACAAAUGCAAUACGGUCUUUCUCUAAUACAAUACUCUUGACCACAUUGUUUGGUUUGAUAGUUUAUUCAUGUCUACUAUCCAAUGUGAUUCGUGUGCUUAUAUGAUUAUCUUGAAUGUGAUUUAGAACGACUUUUCUAAAUCUCAUUCAUACUCUGGCCAGAGGUUCUAAAUCAUAUCAUAGAGUAUUCUCCCUCAAAC